UACGGGGGGGCAAGCGUUGUUCGGAAUUACUGGGCGUAAAGGGCGCGUAGGCGGUGCUCUAAGUUAGAUGUGAAAACUCUGGGCUCAACCCAGAGCCUGCAUCUAAAACUGGAGUGCUAGAGUUCUGGAGGGGUAGCGGAAUUCCUGGUGUAGCGGUGAAUGCGUAGAUAUCAGGAGGAACACCGGUGGCGAAGGCGCUACCUGGACAGAACUGACGCUGAGGCGCGAAGCUAGGGAGCAACAGG
rnacentral:rRNA from 1 species